UACGUAGGGUGCGAGCGUUAAUCGGAAUUACUGGGCGUAAAGCGUGCGCAGGCGGUUUUAUAAGCCAGAUGUGAAAGCCCCGGGCUCAACCUGGGAACCGCGCUUGAGACUGGCACGCUAGAGUUCGGGAGAGGAUGGUGGAAUUCCCAGUGUAGAGGUGAAAUUCGUAGAUAUUGGGAAGAACACCGAUGGCGAAGGCGGCUCACUGGCCCGAUACUGACGCUGAGGCGCGAGAGCGUGGGGAGCAAACCGG
rnacentral:rRNA from 1 species